rnacentral:tRNA from 2 species
GCCCCAGUAGCUCAGUGGUAGAGCGUUUGCAUGGUAAGCAAAAGGCCGCGAGUUCAAUCCUCGCCUGGGGCU